UACGUAGGGUGCGAGCGUUAAUCGGAAUUACUGGGCGUAAAGGGUGCGCAGGCGGCUUCGCAAGUCAGACGUGAAAUCCCCGAGCUUAACUUGGGAAUUGCGUUUGAAACUACGGAGCUGGAGUAUGGCAGAGGGAGGUGGAAUUCCACGUGUAGCGGUGAAAUGCGUAGAGAUCAGGAGGAACACCGGUGGCGAAGGCGGCCUUCUGGGUCGACCCUGACGCUGAGGCGCGAAAGCGUGGGGAGCGAACGGG
rnacentral:rRNA from 1 species